UACGGAGGGUGCAAGCGUUAUCCGGAUUCACUGGGUUUAAAGGGUGCGUAGGCGGGUUGGUAAGUCCGUGGUGAAAUCUCCAAGCUUAACUUGGAAACUGCCGUGGAUACUAUCAAUCUUGAAUAUCGUGGAGGUAAGCGGAAUAUGUCAUGUAGCGGUGAAAUGCUUAGAUAUGACAUAGAACACCAAUUGCGUAGGCAGCUUACUACACGAUCAUUGACGCUGAUGCACGAAAGCGUGGGGAGCAAACAGG
rnacentral:rRNA from 1 species